rnacentral:misc_RNA from 1 species
UCUCCGUUGGUGAACCAGCGGAGGGAUCAUUAUCGAGUUUAUAACUCCCAAACCCCAUGUGAACUUACCACUUGUUGCUUCGGCGCGCGCUUCGGCGCCGCCGAGGACACUUAAACUCUUUGUUUUUAUAAGCAUUUCUGAGUGGCCGAAAGGCAAAAUACAAAUGAAUCAAAACUUUCAACAACGGAUCUCUUGGUUCUG